GGACGAUGAUGAUUUAUAGUUAAGGUCUCGUUCGUCGUAAUUGGCCUUUUGGCCUUGCCGACCAUUCUGCUAUAUCACCACCCAUAUUCCGAGUCCCUCAUUUUUUCAUAUUCAUUUCUCGUUCUUUUGUUUAGCUUUUCUGUAUGUUAUUUAUAACUAGGGUUUCUGAUUUUUCAGUUGGCCAAUGAUUAAAUCUAAAUAAAGACAAGCAUAUGUCUGAACUAACUUAUGUUGAACAAUCUAAUCUUCUCUAUGAGGCCAAUUAUCAUGUUUUAUUUCAAAAUUUAAUCUGUUUAUAUAUUUUGAUUCUUUAUUCUGUGAUCUGCCUAUGAUGCAAGAAAUGGUUAACGUGUAAUGUAUGAAAUUUCAUGAUUACCAUUACCUACUGCCUUCCUUCUGAGGCUUAAUUUUUCAUAAAUUUCUGUAAUAUGUCAAGUUUAUUUUUUAAAAGUACCUUAUUCAGUGAUUGUUUCAAUUAUUUAGUGACGAUUGUUUUGGAAGGGUUCAAGUGAUGAUUUUAAAUGCAUAGUUCAGAUGAUUAUCUGUGAUUAUUUAAUUCUUAUAGUCUUUCGCUCCUAUCUGAUGACCCCUUCGUAAAUUCUUGAAUUAUCCGUUAUUUACCUUUGUUAAUUUCUUAUUGUGUUUGUUGUUCCCAAAUUUGAUUGAAUCGGUUACGUCGAUGAUGAUAAUUUGAAGGCUUGUUUCUCAAAACAUUCGCAGUGGCCGACCAAGAGCUUUCGCCUUCGCCAGGCUUGAGAGCUAAUGCUGUUUUAUCCUUCCUUGGAUGUCUGAGACUUGUAACCAUUUAUGUUUUAUUUAAGUUUUCUUUUAUUACUAGUUAUUUGGAAUGCGAUGUUCUAUGAUGAUAAUCCUAAGGCUUGUUUCUCAAAACAUUCGCAGUGGCCGCCUAAGAGCUUUCGCUUUCGCCAGGCUUGAGAGUUAAUGCUGCUUUAUCCUUCCUUGGAUGUCUGAGAGUUUACACUCCCUUGUUUUGUGAUUUUGAAAUAUUCGUUUAUUGUUUAAUAUAGGUGUUUCUUCUUUGCUGUUUGAAGCAAAGGGUAUAAGCAUAUUCUACUAAUUCGAGAUAAUAUUAUCGUAGUAAUGUGAAGAAAUACUUCUCUCGAAAGAGGAUGCACAAAUGUUUUGUUUUAUGUUUCAUUAUUUUGUAGUACUUGUGGCCAGUGAUGAUAAAAGAAAGGCUUGUUUCUCAAGACAUUCGCAGUGGCCGCCUAAGAACUUUCGCCUUCGCCAGGCUUGAGAGUUAAUGCUGCUUUAUCCUUCCUUGGAUGUCUGAGGCC